CGUCGACAACUGAAAAGCCACAUAUAUUUUUCCUCUUCCAAACCGACGUGGUCUCAAGAACAGCGUGAUAGUCAAGAUGAAGGCUUUUACCUGCUUGGUUCUUCUGGUGUGCCUGGGUGUCGUCUUCGGAGACGCAGCCAUGGAAGAGUCUCCACGGCAAUAUGAUGCGAAAACUGACGAUCUUGAGUCCCGUCAAGCGUGUCAUCCGUGGAAACCACAUAGUUGCCCUUACCCCCUUGUUUGCAAGCAUAAUGGCUUCUGCGGUAGACACUAUAAUCGUGGUUAAACACGCCGUCUGCAUAAAGUGCGUCGAUGGCCGCCAACAAAAAAAAACCAUACCGAUGAGUCAGACGCUGAUAUGAAGCUUGGACCGACAGGAUUUAUUUGUUUCUGGUGGUGGGAUGAAAAGGUUAA